rnacentral:lncRNA from 1 species
CCAGACCUCACUGGCUGCCCACUCUCCGGGCCGAGCUCAGCCAGCCAGGCCACGGUGCCUUUGGACGUCGGAUGUGACCAGGUGAGAAUGGUGGUGGCCGGCCGCUGGGGCCUCCGAGGGCCCGAGAAGGCGGGUCUCCGUGGACAUAAGCUCGGCCACCCUUGGGCCUUGGUGCCCCACAGAUCCGGGCCCUGGGAUGACUGCUCCAUCCCAAGUGGACAAAACCUCACCUUCUUUGGAGAACAGUGGACAGGGGCCCUAACAGGCCUAGAAGAAAAGAAAUGUCUUUUGGAAAUGCCUUUUUGAAAUGGAAUUGUUAGACCACCUCUAGAAGCGACAUCAGGAGUGACACACGUCCAUGUUUGUGCAGUGGGUGAGAGGACAUAAAGUAGACAACCCUGAGGAGGAAGAAAAGAAGGUUCUGUGCCAGACUGGUCAUAUUUAGAAGACAUUUUCAUAUUAUAACCAUUGUUUUGUGUGUGCAUUUUAUUCCUCAACUACUGUGUAUAUAGUUGACAAUGCUAAGUACCUUUUCAAAUAUCUAAUCUUCCUAGAGGUUCUGAAGUGCCUGAUACAUGUUAAAAAAUAGAGGUAGUAAAAAGCCAUUUUGAAAAUAUCUUCAUUGAACAUUCAUAUGAAGUGCUGUUUAAUUCGGGGGAACGGCCAAGCCACCUCUUUGAAUAGUAUGCAUUGUGUUUGUGCACUGGCUCAAAGGAGGAGGGAGGAGAAGGUGCAAAGAACUCUGCCAGUGUGUUUAUAGCAAGGGAAGACUAACCAUUGUCCUCUAUGUUCCUGCAUUUUGUUUUACUUAGCUGUGUAUAUAGCAUAUACACUGGACAAAUGAGUCCUAAUUUUCAACAUCUAGUCUUUCCAGAUGUUAAAGAGGUUGCCAGAGUAUGACAAAAAUAGUAAAUGAAUAUGUUUUGUACGUUUUGUGUUAAAAUUCCUAGAAAGAUUGUCUUCUGAAAAUUGGAGCAUUUUAUCACAGAGUUGCUAGAGGAAGGAGGGAAGAGAAGGGUUAGUCUUAGGCUAGAAUGUUCUUAUUUUGAAGACACUUUCAAAUUACAACUGUUACAUGUGUACAGUUUAUUCAACACUGCUAUGUAUACAGUGGACACAUUAAGUCCUUAUUUUAAAACAUCUAAAGUCUGCAUGUUUAGAAGUGCCCAACAUAUGUUAAAUGCAG